rnacentral:lncRNA from 10 species
UCUGGGUUUCAAGACGUUAAAUGCCAUCAGAAUUGAGUAAUGCAAAGGCUGCUGUCAUGGAUAGUAAAGCUUUUUAGUCAAGUGCUGAUAGACAAUUCCCCAUUGUUAUCGUUGGGUAUUUUACAAUUUUCUGGGCAAGAAAUGUAAUGAAAAAUUAAGUAAGUUUUAAAGGCCUUCGUCUUUGAGACUGGAUACCUAAAACAAUAGUGUUUCCUAAACAGUUAAAACUUAUUUAACCCUGAAGCUUUCGAGACACACAAAUAUAUACAAAUAUAUAUUGUAUAUUUCUUAAACCCCACAUAGUUCCACUGAUCUAAAUCACUGGGGGCGAGAGGCAAGGAUAGACAAUCUAUGACACAACACCAGGUGAUUCAUAAGUUUGGUAACCACUGACAUUUGAUUAUGCAGUUGCCAUAUUCCUUAGUAAGAACCUGGUCACAAUUUUCACUCACUACCCCAGGCAAUUCCCCCUCCCCACACCCCCCUUUUUUCUGAGAAUUUCAGUGAGAUAUACAAAAGUUUCAUUUAAUCCUUUAUUAAUUCCAGACUUUAUAUAUUUUUAUUAGGAUUUAAAAUACAUUUCAAAAAGAUCAAGUGAGAACAGAAGAUAAAAGUACCAAGAUAAAGGCAUAAUACAAACUUAGAAAAUACAUGUUAAGCAUACUGCGGCGUCCUGGUAGCCCCUUGCUUUUGUUCACUUUUUUCUCUUAUGUACCUACAUAAAAUCCCAAAUAGUAUCUUCCAGGAUGACACACUUGCUGUCUGCCCCACCCAAUUAAAAACAGAUUUUUUAGUUAUUAGGUAUUGUGCUGAAUCUACCUUAUUUUAUUGCCAAAAGAAAAAAAAAAAAAAGCUUUUCAAAGCUUCAUCCCCAGGAAACAUUUUCCUGCUUUUACACAUACCUUAUAUGGCUCUACUGAGAGAUAAGGCCUAAGCCUGAAAAGUUAAUUUAAAGCAUGGAGGUAGGGGUGAGACAGAAAGACAACAGGGAAAAGUUGAGUUUAUAAGGUAAGUAUAUAUCUUCCUUUUAACAGCCACCUGCAUGGCGUUCGGUAAAUAACCUAAUUAUAUGUGGGGGAAGGUAGUGGUCAACAUUUGGUCCUGGGGACUGAGAAUAAGAGCAGGAAAGCAAUAAACAGCUAACUAUGAGAGUGACUUAAUGUAAUUAUAUUACCUGUCAAUCGCUACUUUUCCUUUCUUACCAAAAUUCACACAGGUAUGAAAGCAAUAUGACAUUCAGGCUCCAUUAUGUGUAUUUGUGCACAUCACUUCCCACGAUAAGGGAGAAGAAAAGAAACCACUGCACAUUCGGAUAAAACAUGCUGGGAAUACAGCAGUAAACAGAAUAGAAAAAGUCUACAUUUUAAUUAGCAGAUAAGUAAAAAUAAGUGACUAAAUGUAUAUUAUUCAGGGGGCCAUAUGUGCAAUUGCUGUUAAGUAAAGCAGAACAUGGAGUGGAGUAGGGAUGACAGGUUUCAUCAGUUAAUACUUGAGCAGAGAGCUGAAUACAGUAAGAUAGUUGUAGGAUAUCUUGAGGCAGAGUAUUCUCAGAACAGAACAUGGUAAGUACAAAGGCCCCAAGGCAGGAACAAGCUUGGUGAAUGUGAGAAAUAUGCAAGCUGGUUAAUGUGGCUGAAGCACAGUGACCAAGGGAAAGUUUUACAGAGAUCACGGAGGUGCUUGAGGGCUGGAUUAUGUAGGCCAUUAAGGAGCAUCACAGGCCACUGCAGAGAUUUUGUCUUUUAAAUGAGAUAGAGUGCUCUUGGAGAAUGUGACUGGAGAGGCCGAUGGUAGCAGUGGAGAUGCAGAGUAGUAGCCGAGAUAUUUUAAAUGAAAUUGAUUUAGUAUAGGCUGACUGAAAGAGAAAUCAAGGAUUAAUUGUAGGUUUUUACACUGAGCACUUGAAAAGAGCUGCUAUUUGCUGAUAUGAGUAAGGAGUAGUCUUGGAGGAAGAAAACCAAGAGUACUGUUUUGAACAAAAUGUUGAAGACUCCUGGUAAAUAUCGAAGUGUAAAUAUCAAAUAGGAAGUCAGAAAUAUGAGAAUCUGGAGUUUAGGAAAGAGAAGGGGGUUAGGUUUGUAAGAUCUCAUAUCAGUCUGAUUCUUAUUUUUUUGUAGAUAAUCUACCCUUUCUUUCUGUAAAUGUUUAGAAGCAUGAUGUCUAUGUGUGUAUAUAUACACACACACUCACUCCCCCCCGCCAGGACUGCCUCAGUUUUCAUCUCAGUAUUUGACUAAAACCUUCUAUUCAACUUCAGUUUCAGCCUUAGAAUAACCAGAUGUCUAAGUCAAUGUCAUUUGGGGCAUCUCUAGACUUGUGCAAUCACAAAAGUCACCAUUACCGCUACAUAGUACGUAUUAUGACC